ACCUGCAGACACCAAACAUGCCCUUUCGCUCAUCGCUCCCCCCUGAACGUCAGUUUAUGCUCCUUCCAUUUUGCCAGAGCAAAGAACUUUCCCUUUCACUCAUUCACCCCCCUGUUCCGGCUCUGCUUCUCCUUAUCUUUGCUUUUAUCAAACGCGUCUCUAAGCGCCCCACCAUGACAUCAUCGUCCAUCUCUUCUGGAAACGCAACGGCCACCGCCUAUCUGAACUGAACAGAAUGCUCAAAUUCAAAGAGCUCUUACCAUAGAGUUCGGUAUUUUACUUUGGCCCCAGAACAGAAAGAAGCCCGUGUCAAAAGAGCAAUAGAAUGGCAAAACAAAAAACGAGACUCUGCUGCAAACAGUAAGCUACAUCAAACCACUUGCACAGAUUAAGGUAGUUGUCAUUAUAUCACCAAUUUUUCAAUGGUGACCCCCCACUGGAUACGAGUAGUUCCUGUUGUUCUUGCACUGGUAAAGGUACUUGUCGUCAUAUUAUGUUAUUACCCCAUAUAUACUAUGGUUUCACCGGAUUUUCAAAUCUAUCAUAUGCUUUAAAAAUUACCCAAAAUAUCCCGUGGUUUUAUAUUUGAUUCCGAAUCUAUCCCGCCGUCAAUUUAUCUAUUAAUGAAACGUAAGUAGGCUUCAAAUCUAUCCUAUGAUUUUAAUUUUUUCUCAAAUCUAUCCUAUGGUUUUAAUUUUUUUCUCAAAUCUAUCUCAUGGUUUUAAUUUUUUUCUCAAAUCUAUCCCGGGUAAAGGGUCACAGUGGCAAGAAUGGAUCCACUUACGUUCCACGUCAGUAACAUCGUUAAAUGUUGACGGAAUAUAUAACGGCAUGAUAGAUUUGGAACCAAAUGUAAACCAUGAGAUAUUUUUGGUAAUUUUUAAAGCAUAUGAUAGAUUUGAAAAUCCGGCGAAACUAUAGAAUAUAUGGCGUAAUUUCUCUGAAUCUAAUGAGUUUCGAUUCUAGCAGGAUUUGGUUAGUUCAUACUUGACUUCAAAGUCUUAUUUCUAAAUAAAAGAUUUUGCAGCUGAAUAGAGUAUUGGGUGGAAUCAUUUUUAUGAAGAAGAUUUAGGUCAAUAAGCAAAAACAGAUGAAGGCGAGGCGCGGAUAUGGCUGCCAGAUUCAGCCUUAUGGAUUUUUUUGCAGUUCUUCUGAUAUUCGUUUCUUGUUACUUCACUUUGGGGGCAAUUUAUGUUUCAUGGUUAUUCUUCUUGCAUCACCAACUUAUACAGAUUAAACCAAUUGAAUUAUGGAAUAUCAUUUUCAUACUAUUGUCACCGUAUUUCCUGACCGUCAUGUUUCGACUAUUUAGUUGUUUAAUGGAGGUUUAUUUUUCUCC